GAGACAAGAAAGGCAAAGCCACACUCAGGACACCGCUGGCCGGCACUGGGUGUGCACCUCACCCGGAACACCAAGUGUUCCCACCUGCCCCCAGGACACUGUCAACGAGUCUCACAAAGACGCAGGUCUAGGGCACACAGCUUCAUUCGCCUCAGACGAUUCUCACUAUAACCCGAGUCCCAUAAAGAAGAUGGCAUCCUAUGUUUCCUGUUGGUACACAACGCUCCCUGCUAUCAUAAGAGCUGUGGAUGCUUUGGCACUAAGACCAAAGAGUCAGGAAUGAGGCUAACUCUACUAAAAUUGAGGUUGCUCUAAAAUUCCAGACAUAGAGCUUUCCAAACAGAACAUACAGGAGGCAGACUCACAGACUCCAUCCUGUCCUCAACAAUUGGCCCCACACGCGUUCCAACUCCCGGUGUUCUGGGAGCCUCAGACAUGGUGAGGUAUCAUGGCAAUUUUAGGAUGGCUUGGCCCCAGUCUGCCUGGAGUUCUGCCCUCGAAUCCAACCAUUUAGCCUGAGCCAAGUAGCAGUUAUAAAUGAAAAUGCUCAAGCUGGCUAGGCAUACACGAGGAUGGAUGAGAAGGUGAGACACAAAUUGGACGCCUCAGAAAAGUGAGCCCUUCUGGUCCUCCAUCCCUUUCUGUUCCACCCCCUCUGCCUCCCAACAUAGUGUCUUCCCUCGACAGAAAAUCAGAAUCAAGACAAGACCUCAACAGCAGCCCCCUGCCUGGCCUCGCUGUCCAGUUCAAUGAGUACCGACUGUAAUCGUGCUCCAGCUCCAAAGAAGUAGAGGGUAGCUCCUGCCCAAGGAAAGAAGACUUGCCAAGGUUAGAAACAUCAACGUGCAGACUGGGGCAGUCUGGAAACCAGCAAGAGCAUGAGUGGUACAAAUGGAAAAUCAGACGUGCAGAUGGAAAGAUCCAUCCUGGAAUAGAAAAUCGUGGAAAACCAGCUAAGAGGUCAAUUGUAAUGUGGUCCUAAGAGGGGCAUGAGCCAAGAAGGAACCCAGAAUGAGCUAACGAUGCAGCAGGAACAUGGACAUAGAUAUCCAGAGCCUAACUCCAGGGGCAGGUCACAGUGAGGCUCUGCCAGACACCCACUGCCUUCAUUUUGACAGGAAUCCUAGGUUACACAUGGUAUGAGUUGAAAUGUUUACAACUGAACACACAGACUUCAAAAGAGUUUGCUACAAAACAGUUCAAGCAGAAAAAAACAAUUUUCCUUGAACAUGCAUAUUUUCUACUUGUUCUUAUUUUUAAAUUUGAAUACAAAUAUUUCUGGUAAUGCCUAUCAGAAGACGUAUAUAAAAUUCAGUAAGAAAGCAUCUGGCCUGGGGCAUAGCCCCAUUGAAAGGGUGCUCUCCUAGGUUGGACAGAGUUCCUGGGUUUGAUCCCAAGCACCACGAAAGCCAACUUAGACACGGUAGUGCACCUCUGUGAUGCCCUCACUCAGGAGGCAGAGACAGGAAGGUCAGAAGCCAAAAGUCACCUUCAACUACAAAGCAAGUUUGAGGCCUGCCUGAGCUACAUCAGACACUGCUCCCCCCACCCUCCAAUCCGGCCUCCCAAAACUACAGAUCUGAAGGCUUCAGAAUACAGCUUGGUUUUUCAAAUGUCUCAUAUCAUGUUUCCAGCAAUCAGAUUUUAUGAUCUAUAUUGGAAGCUCUUGUCUCACCACAUCCUAACACAGGGGAGGGCAACCAGAGACGGCAGCCUUUCUCUUCCAGGACACGAGGAACAUGAAGGACACGAAGGACUACCACUAAGACACUCAGACUCCUGCCUUCCCCUCCUUGCCAGUGGACCCCAGCAUUACACUCGUUUUUUAUCUGGGAGCUUUCAAAUACCAUGCUAUUCUGAACCAGAAUCCCUGAAGUCCCAUCACAGAAUCAUUUCCUGUUAUUUUACAAAAAUGAUUCAAGGCAAAAAAGGCUCCACAAGAUGUCUGAUUUGCAAAAGGAGUGUGAAGAGUGAGGCUGACUCAUCCUUCCCUCACAGUGCCCAGAGUGUGGCCGGAAAGAUGAACUCAGAGGAAGGCAUCUCAGUGCGACUUGUGGACCCCAAGACUGGAAUCCUCUGGAAACCAAUGACGAAGCUCUUCUGGGCAGAAGAGGCCAGGGACAUGAACACUAAAGUUGUGACUAAAGAUAAAUAAAGCUAAUGUCACUGAGCCUAACAUGGGAUGAGGCGGCAUGGACUCCGCAGGAACUGAGGGCCAGUGUGGUGAUGGGCCUGGGCCUGAGACAGGUGGACAUGGCAGGAAGAAAGGCAGGGGCCUCUCUUUGCCGAGAUUGUGGGCACUAAGUAUGGGGAACAUGAGGUGGUGACCUUUAUGCCAAGGAGAGGAGCCCACGGAACAGUGGUUAUACACAGAGAAACUCGCUGGACCUGGGUGCUGCGGUCCAUUGGAUGCCUGCCACCUACAGGACACAUGUCCAGGACAGCAAGGUGAAGGCCUGAGUGCAUCAUGAGCACUGACCCUCCUUGACACUCCCUCUCAUUCCUCCAGCUUGUAGCCAGAAACCAAAGCAGCCCGUGCUGGACCUUGUAUCUUCAAAUACCUCUUUCAAGUGGCACGUGAUACACACACACACACACACACUCUCUCUCUCCACACCCUGUAGAGUUAAAACCCUGGCGUGGCAGGCACCAACCACGUGACCUUAACUAGCCUCUCCCAACUCAAUUCCCAUAGAUAUGGGAUAUAAAGAUGACAUACUAAAGGUGCCACAGGGGAUUCAAUGAGGGGAAAAUGUGUACAAAUAGCCCACAAAGGACAAGGAGCUCAAUGAAAGUUACUGCCCAGAGAACUGCCGUCUUCUUUUAUAAUCCGUGCGUGUUGCACGUACUCCAAAUGCACGCACACGUGUGCAAAUAACAUGCAUGCAAGGUCAGAGGCCAGCCUUGAGUGUCGGUCCUCAUCUUCCACUGGAGUUGGGACACAGUCUCUUGGUUUGGUUUUUGUUUUUUCCUGCUACACACCCCAGGUUAGCUGGCUCACAAGUUCCUAGGAAUUCUACUUCCCAUCUUGUGGUAGGAGCCCUGGGCUUACAGACAUGUGGUAUCACACCUGGCUUUCCAGACGUGCUGGGGAUUUGAACUCUGAUCCCCAGGAUUCCACAGCAAAUGCUUUUCCAGUGGGCAGAGCCAUCUCCGAAGUCCUGCCCGGGGAGUUUAAUGUCUCAACUUCAUUUACCUUCAAAUGUCUGAAAGGACAUAUUUUCUCUGGUUGCCCCAAAGGACAAGCCAAAACAGUCAAAUUUCAUCCGUAAUUUUUUUUUUUUUAGUGAAGCUCCUCUUCUGGGCACACAGAAUGACAUGGUGACCCACAGCUUCUCAAACAGGAGUGGCCAGAGCCAUGAGGAAAAACAGGAAGGAGACAUGCAGAGGGCUGGGUGGGAAUGCUGCGGCUCCCAUCGGUACCAGAACAGGACAAGGUGAAGCUGGCCCCAGGGAAGGGAGGAAACAUGCAGCCACUUAGAAGUCAGGAAAGGCAACCUGGGGCAACCCGUGGACACAUUCUGAAAAGGUGGAGGAAGCUGAGUUGGAGUUUAGCGUGCCAAGCAGGACCUCGGUCUCAGGUAACACACCCCAGAGGUCAAGGGGGACGGCGGAGUAUCUCCAGGAAAGAGGCACUGCACCUCAGCACCUCAGCUGUUUCCACAUGGCUUCCCAUACCAUGGCCCAAGGCAGUCACCCUGCUCCAGGAACAGGAACAGCCCAGCAGCCCCUGGUAACAGGAGGAGUGCCAGGGCUGCUUGGGUCCUCGCUGCCUGCCUUCUGCUCGGUUUCCUUAUUUAACAGCAGUCUAGUCCAGACUUGGGAAGGAAGAAGAUAAGGUCUCUCUGCCAAGGACCUUUCAAGGGGUAAAGCAGUCUUUCAACACAACCAAGCCUUCCUUCCCAUCAAACACUGCGUUUGAAUGUUCCUCCUACAGAAGCUGCAUGGGAUGGCCAGCCUAUCGAUGUCUCCUGGCUUGGGACUGUGUCUCUCUACUCCAUUUGUUCAUGUAAAAAGUUAAACCUACACAUCCAAAGAGCAUGUGAGUCAAAAUUUUCCUUGAAUUCUGGGUGCCAAACACAAUGCCCAUGUAUGCAAGAGACUCCCAUGAUCCCACACUGGAACAAGUAAUUAUUAAAAGAGGACCACUGGAGAGAGGUCAGCAAGUCAUGUCCUGUGGGUCAAAUCCAGCCUCCUGGCUGUUGUUACAAAGUUUUAUUAGAAUUCAGCCAAGCGCAUUCAGCUCUGCUCUGUGUUACCUUUAGCUGCUUUCAUAAUAUCAAAGAGCUUGAGUAGCUCUGAUGCCCCAGACACCCACCAGCCUUCUACACAGCAAGUUUCAACUCACCUGUAGAGACACACAGAUAUAUAUCUAGGUUCUGGAGAGAGGGCUCAGAGGUUAAGAGCACUGACUCUUCUUUCAGAGGACCUGGGUUCAGGUGCCAGGACCCAUGGGGCAGCUAACAACCAUCUGUAACUCCAGUUCUAAGGAUCCAAUGCCCACUUCUGGCCCUCAUGGGCACAGACACAUGCAACAGAUACCCAUACACAAAAUAGAAAUAAACCUGAAAAAUUUUUUUAAUUAUUUUUAAUUUAGGACUCAAGAAUUUAUAAAACUUUAUCCUGAUUUUUUUUUUUUCAGUAACUGGACUCCAAGCUCCUGUAGCUAGAGUUUUCCUGCCUGGCCCACAGUCAGGACAAAUCUCUCUCACCUGCCAGUCCCACAGACGCUCAGAGUCUUCUAGGUAUACAUAGAUAUAUUUCAGAUAGAUAGGUAGUCUUCAAACACUUCAAAGACCUACAGAAUAUGGCAUUUAAAAUGUUUUAAAAAUUUAGACUUUCUGGACAGUGAGACAUGUCUGCUCCUGACAGCAUCAAUUUACUUCAGAGAAGAAUAUGGGCAUCAAAGACACUCCAUAUGGAGUUUAUCUUCACCUUGACAAAAAUAGCCAUUUGGACAAGAAACUGUUCUUGCCUGGACUUCUUGAUCAACUUGACAUACAGGACCCAUAGAAAGGUAACCACUGAACUUUGCUUGACAAAAUGGUCCUUCAGGUUCCUGUUUUGCAGAGAAAACUGCAAGACAUUCUACAGGACACAGAAAAAAGUGAAUGGGAGACUCUAGGCCUGCAGGCUGAAGACUGAUGCCCCAACUUUACAAGAGAACUUUGAAUGACUGUCCAGGCUGUCAGCUGUCUCUGUCUACCCUACAAGACUCCCGAAAGUUGCUUGCAUCCUUCUCCCAUUUCUCAGGUAGUAUUAUAUCCUUCUGAGGUCUUUGAUGUGGUUAAAGACUAGAUACUUACAAUUUUCCUUAGUUAUGAUAAAAGAUAAGUUAGAUAUAAAACCUUAAACUCACAAAUAUAAGAUAGAUAUCUUCUUUUAUAUUGUAACUAUAAUUCUUACUCGAUAAUUAUUUUGUUAUAUGUAAUAUUACUAUGUUAAAGUUAAAACCUUCCUUUUUGAAAAAGAAAAAAAAGGGGAAGUGCUGUGGCUAUCGCUCUAUAUAAAUAAAGCACUGAUUGGCUAGUGACCAGGCAGGAAGUAUAGGCGGGACAAGGAGAGAGGAGAAUUGAGGAAGGAGGAAGGAAAAGAGGGACCGGCUGGAGCCACCGCCAAGACAAGGAAGAUGUAAAGUACCGGUAAGCCACGAGCCACGUGGCAAAAUAAAGAUUAAUAGAAAUGGGCUGAAUAUAAGAGUGAGAGCUAGACAAUGAUAGGCCUGAGCUAAUGGCCAAGCAGUUUAAAUAAUGUAAGAGUCUGUGUGUUUAUUUUAUAAGUGGGCUCCGGGACUGGCGGGACUUGGCGGUGGGAGCUGGAGAAAAAUUCUCCAGCUACAAGCUCCUUUUGCUUUGAGAUAAGGUGUCAUUAGAUAGCCCAGGCUAGCCUCCGACUGUCAAUCAUCCUGCCUCAGCCACCCAAGUGUUGGAAUCAUUAAUGUGUACCACCAUACCCCUCACAAUAAUUUUACAUUUUUAAAGCCCCUUAUGCAUUGUUUUACUAGAGAUGACACAUGACAUCUUAACUCGUCCAAACUACAAAGCAGAUGUGUCCAACCAUUUUGACAUUAAGAUGCAAUGUUGUAAUCUACAAAGUUCAUGCCCAGGAACCAUGCAUUUGAGGGGCUUUUUUUUUUUUUUUUUUCCUUUUUUGAGACAGGGUUUCUCCGUGUAGUUUUGGUGCCUGUCCUGGAACUUGCUCUGUAGCCCAGGCUGGCCUCGAACUCACAGAGAUCCGCCUGGCUCUGCCUCCUGAGCGCUGGGAUUAAAGGUGUGCGCCACUGCCGCCGGCAGGGCUUUUGUUUUUUAAAUCAUAGAAGAAGCUCAUUGUUUUCAGCAUGUUUAUAAUUCUGUGUUAGGCCACACUCAUAACUAGUCUUGGCUGCAUGGGGCCCAGGGGUCACAAGUCAAACACACCAACUACAAAAUCCUUUAUAUAGAAUACUUUCAACUAUAUCUAAAACAAAACACUGACACCGAGUGUUUUUGUGGCUCAACUCCAGGGCUCAGGCAAACAGUGCUGAGUUCUCCUAAGGGUUUUGAGUCUGUCUGCUGAGUGACUUCUAGGUGGCAAUACAGUUCCUCUUUUUCACAUGUGUCUUGUGUCUUUACCUUUCCACGUAUGUGCAAGCGCCUUAGAGACUAUCUUACACAACUGAACUUUUCAUUCUACACAUGUUCACUUAAUUAAAGAAGUUACUAAGUCAGUUUUUUUUUCCAUUUGAGGGAAAAUGCAUCCUUGAGAUGACUUGUGUUUCAGGUCCACCCUCUAACUCCCAACAAGGGGUGGGACAUCCCUUUACCCAAGGCUGUAGCUUUCUUUUCAUGGUCUUCCUUCAGAGUUUUCUCUCACAGCCUACUUUUCUUCUGAUAAUCUCACAAAUGAGUUGAAAUGUGUUUAUAAGAAACUUAGUGUUUUUCCUUAACACUUCUGUUCUUAGGGUUUCCAUGGCGCCUCGCCGUACUCUUAUACCCGACACUCUAUAGCCCAGAGGUAAGGCUCUGCCAGUAUCUCACUGAGCAAGCAGCCUUUGAAGGAACAGUCUUUUAAAACAGUCUGAAAUUUUACCGGCUGAGGUAUUUCCUUUCCCUAGUGAUGGUUAGACACAAAAGCAUGAAAAGAUCAUCACUGUCAUUUCAUUUAUUUUAUGAAAAAUGUGCCACUAACACCAACUGUAACCAGUCCCCCACCCCCAACUCAAGGCAAUCCUCAUGUCUCAGCCUCCUGAGUGCUGGGAUUAUAGGUAUGAGCCACCAGGCCUGUCUUAGUUAGGGCUUUAUUGCUGUGAAGAGACCAUGACCAUGGCAACUCUUAUAAAGGAAAACAUUUAAUUGGGGCUUGCUUACGGUUUCAGAGGUUUCAUCCAUUGUCAUCAUGGUGGGGAGCAUGGCAGCAUGCAGGCAGACAUGGUGCUGGAGAAGGAGACUAGAGUUCUACAUCUUGAUCCGCAGAAGAGAGAGACCCACUGAGACUGGGUUGAGCUUUUGAAACCUCAAAGCCCAACCCUCAAUGGCACACUUCCUCCCAUAAGGCCACAACUACUCUAACAAGGUCACAUGCCCUAAUCCUUUUAAAUAAUGCAACUCCCUAUGAGACUAUGGGGGCCAUUUUCAUUCAAACUAUUACAAUGCCCAUCUUCAAAUUCUUCAUAGUCUGGAGUUUUGACAAAUCCUUUUUAGCUAUCAAUAUUCUAAGCAAAUGACAUGUAGAAAUAGAUGACUAAGAAUGUCAAUAUAGUCAGGUGGUGGUGGUGCAUGCCUUUAAUCCCAGCAUUCGGGAGGCAGAGCCAAGAGGAUCUCUGUGAGUUCAAGGCCAGCCUGGUCUACAGAGCAAGUUCCAGGACAGCACCAAAACUACACAGAGAAACCCUGUCUCAAAGGGAAAAAAAAAAGAA